UGAAUAUCCCUACUCUAACAGCUCCUCCCCAAAUUGAAACAGAAACCUAGCUUCUCCACCACCGCCGCAAGGACGGCCGCCGUCCGUCGCUCUCAGGCACUACCGUCGUCGUCUGGUCGUCCGUGCUUCUUCCUCCUUCAAGAAUCGCAGCUUCUUCUUCCUCGACCUCGGCGCGUCAGUUCCCGGUAUUCACCUGCUCCAUCGCGCUCCUGCCGCCGUCUAUCGGGCACUCAGUCACCAUUGUCUUUGUCUGGUCGUCGCAGAUUCUUCCAACCCACCACCGUCUUCUGAGUUGUGUUCGUCGCCUGGCCUCUGUCUCCGUCACGAUUCUGCCCCCCUCUUCUCAGACUGCUCAGAAGAAAAACCCAUCUCCAUUCCAGUUUCCUUCCUUCGAGUUCCGAGAGCAGAAGCUCAACCAAGAAAAAAACCUUAGACUUCGACGGUUAGUGGUGCAUGGCUUCUGUAUAAAUCUAGUACAGAUGGAAAAGGAUUCCUCUCUGCAACUCUCCAAGGUUUCAGUGUGUUUGAUGAUCGUGAGGGUGUUGAAAAAGAAUUCCGGUUAGCAAUAGGAAAGCCUGAAAAUGUUGGAGCCAGUCUUCUAAAUGCUUUUUCUCAUCAGCAAAACCAGGACUCAGUGAAUAGUAGCAUAGUCAAAGAGAAUGGUUUCCCAGUUCCAACGACGCUAAUUGUUGAUGUAAAAUUUGCUCAGGAUUCAACUUUUGUUUCUUUGUGCAUACAGAGGCCUCAGUUGCUGGUUGCACUAGAUUUUCUUCUUGCUGUAGUUGAGUUCUUUGUUCCAACAGUCGGCAGUAUGCUGUCAUAUGAAGAACACAAUAUGUCUCACAUGCUGGAAGCUGUCAUUAUGGAUCAAUCAAUCUACGUAUAACCAUGUCCUGAAUUCUCCAUCUCACCUUAAAAGCCUUUAAUAGUUGACAAUGAAACUUUUGAUCAUUUCAUUUAUUAUGGCCAUGGUGGAACCUUGUAUCUAAAAGAUGGACAGGGAUUUAAUCUCACAGAAGCUAGCUCAGAGGCUUUAAUAUAUGUUGGAAGUGGGAAGAAGUUGCAAUUCAAAAAUGUUGUUAUUAAGGGUGGACAGUACUUGGACUCUUGUGUUCUUCUUGGAGCAAAUAGUAGCUACUCAGUUUCAAAAGAAGACAAUGUCUACUUGAAAGAUUUUGAAGAAAGUCCUUCUGAAAGGUCUUUGAGAGGGAACAUUCUUGAUGAACCGUAUCAAAGCAAUGCAGUUAACAACUCCACAGAAUUGAUCAUUGAGCUUCAGGUUAAGUGUUGCUGUAGUUUAGUAUUUGUGCACUCAUUUAUGCGAUUGUGUCCACUUGUGUUUAUUAACCGUUGCUUUGUGGGCUUAAAGUUUGAUAUUUACCAACACUUAACAGCAAAUUUGAUACUUACAGCCUCGGGGCUCUUUAAAAAGAAGAAAGAAUUCAAUGAAUAUAAGUUCAGCUGGAGAUGCACUAACAUGUGUUGCUAACUUAAGAGGUGAAAAUUGGAGAUUAUACUUUCUUACAAGACACAUGAUGUAAGAACUUUGGGUCUAUCAUACCAAAUAUUGGAAAAUAGAGGGAGAUGCAACAAUAAGAUUCAAGCAAGGUGGAGGAAAUGUUGAGUAUUAUUUGUAUAGGAAACUAUUAUCCAAGCUUAAGAAGGAAUUUAUAUAUAAAACUAGCAAAUUUGUAUGAGCCACGUUGUUGGGAAAUAAAUUAAAAAAAAAAAACAAGAAUAUAAUCUCAAUGUUGCAAUGAGGAAUGAACUCGAGAUGAUAGAAUUU